rnacentral:rRNA from 1 species
AAAGAAAGAUGUGAAAUCCCAGGGCUCAACCUGGGAACUGCAUUUUUACUGCCGAGCUAGAGUAUGUCAGAGGGGGGUAGAAUUCCACGUGUAGCAGUGAAAUGCGUAGAUAUGUGGAGGAAUACCGAUGGCGAAGGCAGCCCCCUGGGAUAAUACUGACGCUCAGACACGAAAGCGUGGGGAGCAAACAGGAUUAGAUACCCUGGUAGUCCACGCCCUAAACGAUGUCAACUAGCUGUUGGGGCCGUUAGGCCUUAGUAGCGCAGCUAACGCGUGAAGUUGACCGCCUGGGGAGUACGGUCGCAAGAUUAAAACUCAAAGGAAUUGACGGGGACCCGCACAAGCGGUGGAUGAUGUGGAUUAAUUCGAUGCAACGCGAAAAACCUUACCUACCCUUGACAUGUCUGGAAUGCCGAAGAGAUUUGGCAGUGCUCGCAAGAGAACCGGAACACAGGUGCUGCAUGGCUGUCGUCAGCUCGUGUCGUGAGAUGUUGGGUUAAGUCCCGCAACGAGCGCAACCCUUGUCAUUAGUUGCUACGCAAGAGCACUCUAAUGAGACUGCCGGUGACAAACCGGAGGAAGGUGGGGAUGACGUCAAGUCCUCAUGGCCCUUAUGGGUAGGGCUUCACACGUCAUACAAUGGUCGGGACAGAGGGUCGCCAACCCGCGAGGGGGAGCCAAUCUCAGAAACCCGAUCGUAGUCCGGAUCGCAGUCUGCAACUCGACUGCGUGAAGUCGGAAUCGCUAGUAAUCGCGGAUCAGAAUGUCGCGGUGAAUACGUUCCCGGGUCUUGUACACACCGCCCGUCACACCAUGGGAGUGGGUUUCACCAGAAGUAGGUAGCCUAACCGUAAGGAGGGCGCUUACCACGGUGGGAUUCA